ACUUGGCCAGCGGCUCCUUUGACAAGUGUGUCCAUAUCUGGAAUACUCAGAGUGGCAGUCUUGUCCAUAGCUACCGAGGCACCGGCGGCAUCUUUGAGGUGUGCUGGAACGCUCGUGGGGACAAAGUGGGCGCCAGCGCCUCUGACGGCUCCGUGUGUGUUUUAGAUCUGUGGAAGUAAACACAAAAUAUUACAGAAAAACUCACGAGUUGUAGUGGACCAGCAGAGAACGUGUGGGGUCGUGGCCCUGUUCAGACACCAUUCUGUCAGCUCCAAAACUGUACGGACUUGACUUGCCUUAGAGUGUACUUGGAAAUCAACUCGUCCCUGGCCACAGGAGUCUAUAUGUUUUCGUAGCCUUCAUGGAGAAGUUCCAAACAAACAAGCAAAAACAAAAGCAUACACACAGUCACAUCAGAGGGGGAUGAGUGGCCUCCAGCCAGGACCUUCAGCCUAGGAAACAGGAAGCUAGACGUGCCUGGUGUGGUUUCCAUCCAGAAGAGGCUCUGAUGUCCAAACGGAAAGCAAGAAAAAAGGAAGCUGUGCCAAAAAACAAAAACAGAAAACAAAGCAAAGAAGCAAAAUGCUGUGAUAAACCAGGAGGGGAAGCGUCCUCUCCUCGCGCUGGUGUUUUCUUUCCCCUGACAAUUGGGACACUACAGCUGCUCUGGAAAAGGGUGUUCAAAGACCAGUUUGUACCGAUUCGAUGUGCAGCUUUGUAAUCCCAACACUUUCUCUUUUCUAGAA